rnacentral:rRNA from 1 species
GCUACGGGAGGCAGCAGUGAGGAAUAUUGGUCAAUGGACGAGAGUCUGAACCAGCCAAGUAGCGUGAAGGAUGACUGCCCUAUGGGUUGUAAACUUCUUUUAUAAAGGAAUAAAACGAGGCACGUGUGCCUUUUUGCAUGUACUUUAUGAAUAAGGCUCGGCUAACUCCGUGCCAGCAGCCGCGGUAAUACGGAGGAGCCGAGCGUUAUCCGGAUUUAUUGGGUUUAAAGGGAGCGUAGAUGGGGUGUUAAGUCAGUUGUGAAAGUUUGCGGCGCAACCGUAAAAUUGCAAUUGAUACUGGCAGUCUUGAGUACAGUUGAGGUAGGCGGAAUUCGUGGUGUAGCGGUGAAAUGCUUAGAGAUCACGAAGAACCCCGAUUGCGAAGGCAGCUUACUAAACUGUGACUGACAUUGAUGCUCGAAAGUGUGGGUAUCAAACAGGAUUAGAUACCCCGGUAGUC